AAGUGCAUUGGCCCAAGUGAAAGAUUCUUGUUGAAUGGCAGAAAUGCCUUCCAGAAGAACUGCAUGGAGAGUCACUACCUUGACCUUCCCAUCAUGCUUCAGGCACAGGCUUCCAUAUCCCAAUGGGAUGACCAAAACCACCUCCAAUCAUCAGCAAGUGUCUCGGGGUAAAGGAAAGCCACCCCUUGGUAAAUUAAUGGGCUCAAGUUGUACAGAGUGAUCCUCAGUAGGACAGAAGCUGCCAAUUAUCCUUGGCUCCUACUUUCUACGGAAGAGGUCAUCUAUACAUAUAGGAACUUUAUAGGAUCCCAACUGGAACAAACAAACGAACUACAAAUAGGCUAACCUCAACUAUACUUAGGACCUCCUACUAGUGUGGUAUGAAAUGGUCACACAGAGGUGGUUUUGGUGAGGGCAAAACUUCCUGCCAGCCUGAUAUCUAACUGUGCUGCUUUGGGAAGAGGAGUGCACAGCGAAAGAAAAGGCGCCCCGGAGCACCCUCGCUUCUACAGCAGAAUUCAUACAGUAGCAGGGACUAAAAACCAACUGGCAAGACAUGGAUUGCAAGAUCAGCUCAGAAGAGAGAGAGGGUCUGCAAACAUCUGAGAGCACAAACAAGAUCGGGAGCCUUCCUCCUUAUCAACGUGUAUUUAUAGGCCGCUGAUUUGCAUCUUCAGUCUUCAUAAACAAAACAAGUCACCUUCGCCUUUCUGGAACUUCUCCAUGUGCUGACAUAGCAGCUCACCUGGUGACAGCCUGCAGCAGAGUUGAAGGCCAAGGGGGGAACUAAGCAAUCUGGACCUAGAAGAAACAAUGCUGUGAACAGCAGAGCAUGCUGGGGGCUAAGGGCCCAUUUUAGUUUUAAACUAUUAUAAAAAGGAAGUCCCAUUUUCCCAGUUUUAACUUUGAAAACUCACAUUUUUCUAUGUUGUCAAACUUCAGUAAAUAACACUUUCAAGUGUUGAACUGCUGACUCUGAAACCCAUUCUAACAAGCAUGCAUGUGCACACACAGACUGCAACAUCAUCAUCAUCAUCAUCAUCAUCUAAUGUUGUAAGGUUUCCACCCGUAUGAAUUUGGAAGAAGUGUAGACACAGAAGUGGACUGGUGACCAGAGUCCAGCCUUUUCUUCAGAAUCAAUAUCCACAGUCUGGCCAUGGGACCUAAGCCUGAAUGUGCCUAUGUGAAGGUGCUGAGCAGGAGCACAGAGGCAAAAGGAUGCCCUGAAUCCUGAUGCGCCCAGUUCAAAGCGAAUGAAUCAGGGAGGGAUUUGAAGAACGCUGUCUCCACCCCAAGGCAUUUCCAUCCUUUUAUUGCUCUCCCAACUUUAUGGUUACUUUGAGCACUGCAGCUUAUUUAGCUACUUCCCUGGGUAGGGCAGAUAUUUCAACAGAUGUGAGCUAUGCCAACUAUCACCUACAGGGAAGGAGAUUAUAAAGGAAAGAACAUUUGAGAGGAAUUAACAAAAAGCAAAUAAAAUGGCACGUCAAAAAGGAGAGCGUCACCGAGAGGGUUUUUCCCCCCCGAAGGGAGGUUGGGACAGGAGAAUGGAUCAAGUGGCGCUCUCAAGGUUUCCGAAGCUGUUUCCUGCACUAAUGUGUAUCUCCUCAUUUUUAGAUCCUAGAACAGAGAACUAGGGAACAUGGGAAACCUAAAAUAAAAAGAUUGUUGCAUUCAUUCUCUGAGCCUUGAGGGAAGCGGUUUCAUGAAGGCAUC
rnacentral:lncRNA from 1 species